rnacentral:lncRNA from 1 species
CCGACACACACUCCGCCCGACACACACACUCCCGCACACACAGAUCCUUGCAAGAGCGAAGGAUCUCACUUCUGUACCUCCUCAGAAGAAAAAGGAAGAAAACUGCUCCAGUCUUCAGCUGUGUAAGCCUUCAGAGAGAUAAACAGGGCUGCCCCUUCCUCCUCUGUAAAGACGUGGGAAGCCAGGAAUGGCGCGCAUGUGAAUGAAUCCACCUGCUCUGAUGCUGCAGGCAGUGAGGUUCUGAGUGUGAAUCCUGGGAAAUGGCGUCCAGGCAGAGGCCACGUGGGCGAGGGCCACUCUGUCGCUCUGAGGAGCUCGUGAAAGCUACUGUGUGAAUGAUGUGGCUCCCCCUCCACGCGGGAAACUGUGAGGGGCGCCUGACCACGCCGUGACAAACCAGGUGGUGGUGGGAGGCACCGUCCAGGUGUGUUGCCAUGGUGUCAGCCUGUGUCCUGCACACCAAGAAGUCACCAGAGGGCAUUCUGCUCCUUGAGGAGGUGCGCCUGUGGUCGGCACUGUGCUCUGGGCGCUUUAACUUCAUGAUUCAAGGUCACUCAAGUGAGAACUACAACCUUGGGAAAUGGACUGAGAUUGUCCACCUCCUGCCCUGUGGACUUCGCAGCAAUCUGAAAGGAAUGGCGUCGCAGCCUCCACCUUUCCCAUUGGAGUCUCCACAACCCCACCCCACCAACUUCAUCCAACCUGGCC